rnacentral:rRNA from 1 species
UACAGAGGUCUCAAGCGUUGUUCGGAUUCAUUGGGCGUAAAGGGUGCGUAGGUGGCGCUGUAAGUCGGGUGUGAAAUUUCGGAGCUCAACUCCGAAACUGCAUUCGAUACUGCGGUGCUUGAGGACUGGAGAGGAGACUGGAAUUCAUGGUGUAGCAGUGAAAUGCGUAGAGAUCAUGAGGAAGACCAGUGGCGAAGGCGGGUCUCUGGACAGUUCCUGACACUGAGGCACGAAGGCCAGGGGAGCGAACGGG